rnacentral:lncRNA from 1 species
AACCAAAACCCUAGAUCUCUCUCUUCUCGCUCAUUCCUCCUCUAUCACCGCCGCCUGCUGCCGCUCUCUGGUGGCUAAACACCCUCCAACCAAUGCCAAUCUCCUCCUAUCAAACUCCUCUCCAUGAAUCCAAACCCCAAAUCAUUUAAAUCCUCACCAAUCUCCAUAAAUCUAAGAAAAUCUGAAACUUUGGUCGCCACUUUUUUCAUGAAUUCAGGAAGAUUGAGCCCUUUUCUCCACUUAAUUUUUAUAUAGAUAUAUAGAUCUCAUCAGAGGCCAUCUUUCCAUGUUGGUCUUAACCCUAAAAACCGACCACCAAAAUUCUGGCAAAGUCACCGGAAGCUUCCUCUUCUCUCCUAUCCCCGACCCCAAAAUUCCUUUUCUUCUUAAAAUGAUGAUGGAAUUAAUAUCUCAAUAGCUAAAAUUUUAUUGAUCUAGCGUCUGCCCACCAGAAAUGGGUGUUCAAGGGUUAGAUCGAUGUUGUUCAUUGACUUUGGCAUUUUCCGGGUUGCUCGAGUCAGCAUUAGGUUCCCUCAUUGGGUAAAUUCUAAACUCUAUUCAUUGAUUUUCUAUUUUUCUUCAUAAUUAGUAUUAGUUUUAAGUUAUGUCUUAAUUUUUGUUUUCUUUCUUCUUUUUCUGUUUUGUCUAAUUUUUUUCAGAUCGCGCCCUCAUUCGGUUAGUUUAUUUGGAUUAUUUAUGUCACUGUCAAUACGUUUUUUGAUUAAUCACCAGAUUUUAUUUUGAAUCGAAUUAAUUAUAUUAGCAUUAGUUUAAUGUUUGAAGUUUGAAAUGCUAAAUUUUCUGCUUUUGCACUUAUUAAAGUAGUAUGAUGGUUUGGUUAGUGUCACGAUACAAAAUCUACUAAGGGUCAUGGUGGCGCCGGACACCGUUGUCAGGCAAGCCAACCAAGAAUGCAUAAUUAAAUUUCAAAUUUUUGUAUUUCCGGAAAUCAUUUUUUUCUUUAUACAUAAAAUAAUAAAUAAUGAGAUUUUAUAGAAAUCACAUAAACUCGAUAACAGACUUAAUACUUAAUAAUCCAAAAAUCCUCCCAGAACCAGGUAUCACAAGUGCAUGAGCAAUUUCUAAGAAAAACCAAAAAAAAUACAACGGUUGUCCGAAAUAUAAUUGGAUAGGGAAUAAAUAGAAUCUUGAGAGAGACUAUACUAGCUGCAGGUCGCCUCGAGGAAAUACACCUCGCUUAGUCUCCGUGCAAACCAUGCCACUGUGCUACUAAGCCACUAGCCACGCAUAAACUUGUACAACAAAAAUGCACAGCAAGUAUAGUAUGAGUACG